ACUAUUACACACACUUUGAUGAAGAGGGGGCACCCGGGAGGGGGGAUCUUGUAGUGCUCAUUCAGUGACCGGUCGCACUCAUUUGCCUACUACGUUCUCUCUGGUUCACCAGGUUGAGCCCUGGUGGAUUCUUCAGCUGUGAGUAGACAGAGAAUGAUACUAUCCUGGAUAACUUCAAACUGGUUCAUCCAUAUUUCUUUUACUAUAAGAUGAAAUGCACGAAAACCCUGCAACAACUACUUAUUCCACGCUCGGUCAUGAUACACCGUACCAGACCACUGGAGCUGGUUUCUAGGCCGAUUAUGUAAAGCAGAGAGUAAGGGUUAGGCUGACAAAUAGCCCGGUCCCACCUGCGGCGGCUGGGGUCAACGCCAUCUCACCGGGCCGCAGUCCUGUUGACAGAUUCAGGCCAAUGUAGAAGAGUUACUUGGUACAAAUAUUCUAAGCAGAUGGAUGGCUAUGAUAUUGAAAUUGACGUGGCAGCCAAGGUUUCAGGACUCCAAUCGUAGAAUUUCAUUGGUUCGGAAGAAGUUUCGAACAUGGAGUGGUCUGCAGAUGACUCAUCCCGGAAAUACUUGGAAUAAUUUGUUUACACUGGAAAUACCACGCACAACUGCCAGAAGAUUAUCAGUUUAAAAUUUUCUCCCAUUUCUCAGCACCUUUGAACUGUGGUAUAACAUAGCUCAUAAAAGCAAUAUUACAAGUUUA